ensembl:lncRNA
CCUCUCUGAGUUUCCCUGGCAUGUACAAUGCACAAUGGGCUGUAGUGCUCUGACAAUAUCCUUCAAUAUCCUUUCCACACCACAGAGAAGCAUUACCUGUUGUUGAGCCAGGUGUCAAAAUGUCAGUAGCCAAUACAGAUAACCACUGUCAUUCCCACUGCUGAUGGGGAGUUGUCAUAGAGGUGCUGCCAACCAGACUUGCAGAGGAAGUUUGCUGCAAUUUUGAGAUCCCCAGUCUCUUGGCUGGUAGCUUAAUGCUCAGACCAUCCUGUUCAGAAUUUUAUCUUGCAGUGUUAAGGAGUUCAAAUAAAGCCUGCUGCAAUUAUGUUAGCAGUGUAUUUUGGCAAAGGAAAUCUUCCAACAUGAAGCACAGUUUAAUACGCGUAAGAUUAAAAAUCUUUCUAAAAUACUGAAGAACUAUAAAAAUGAGGGGAAAAAAAUCAAAAACUCAACAAGAAAGUAAGAGCUGCACUUUUUUUGUUCAAGGACAAGUUUUACUAACCACAUGCAUGGUGGGGAAAACCUAGCCCCUUUUCUCUUGAACUACUGUGGGCCACACGCCACAGGAGGAGGUGUACCUGUAUUAGGGAAGAUGUGCACAGGUGGUGUGCAGCUUCAUCCCACAGUGUGCAGAAGGAGGGGAAAGAUCAUUCUCUCCUAGCUCUCUUGUGCUGCUGUAUGGCACAGAGCAACUCUAGUCACCUAGAAAGGGAAGUCUUUUCCAAUUAAUAAUCUACCCUGAAGCUGCCAUGCCCACGCAAAUCAUGUAUGCUUGAACUUUUCCUGAAGACCAGCAGGGCAAACACUUCUCUGCCACCCUCCAAGGGCUCUGCUUGCAUGCUGCUGGGAGCUUUGCACUUGCUCUUUAUAGAAGCACUGGAAGGUAGCAAGGUCCCGGGGGAAAGACAAGGACCAAGCAGCUCUUGUCUGGCAACAAGAAGGGUACCACGAAGGAGAGACUCCGAUGACAGCUUGACGGAGCCGGGCGAGGGGCAGCGCUCGGCCGAGCCCACCGGGGCCCGCUGCGGGGAGCGGCAACCAGUCGGCCAGGUGGGCGACCGGGGCGGCCGGGCAAACUGCGGCAGGGAGGGGAGCCGAGCCGAACCGAGCCGCUGCCCUGCCUCCUGCGCCGGGGGCCGCGCUGGCGGGGCGGGCGCGCCCCUCCCCGGGCCCGCGGAGCCACCGCCCCCGCGGGGCAGCGCGCACCGGCGGCCGCGGGGCUCCUGCCGAGCCUGCAGGUGGGGGCUGCAGCCUGCAGGUAGGGGCUGCAGCCUGCAGGUAGGGCGUGCGGGGCUGCGGGGCCCGGGAGCAGCGAGCAGGGACAGAGGGGUGGCCGGAGCGGGGCGCGGAGCGGGGCGGGCAGCGCGGCUCCCCGGCGGUGAGGCUGCAGCCGGGUCGCUUUCCUGCCCUGCCUUGCUCGUGGUAGAACUGCGGAAACAUUGAAAAAAUCAAUAAAAAUGAAUGUAAACGCCACUGUUUAAUGAAGGAACUGUAUAUACGUGCAUACGUAGGUAUAAGUUGUUGGUCUGGUGAGAUGUUAGUCAGGUAAACAGCGCUUAAGGAUAAACAGCGGUUCAAGUUGCUAGAUGGUAUGAGGAAACUCAGGUAUCUUUUAUUCCUGUUGCAUAAGCAGAACGAAUGUACCUGUUUCAGAAGCAGGUGUGAGAGGCAGUGCUGCACCUUGCCGUCGUCCCCGUGUGUGCGGACCCGCGGCUGUCGCCGGGAUGCCCGUGCACGGGGGUGUGUGAGUGUGCCUCUGUGAGUGUGUGCCUCUGUGAGUGUGUCUGUGUGUGUGUGUGCCUCUGUGAGUGUGUCUGUGUGUGUGUGUGCCUCUGUGAGUGUCUGUGUGUGUGUGUGCCUCUGUGUGUGCCUCUGUGUGUGUGUCUGUGUGUGUCUGUGUGUGUGUGCCUCUGUGAGUGUGUGCCUCUGUGAGUGUGUCUGUGUGUGUGUGUGCCUCUGUGAGUGUGUCUGUGUGUGUGUGCCUCUGUGUGUGCCUCUGUGUGUGUGUCUGUGUGUGAGUGUGCCUCUGUGUGUGUGUCUGUGUGUGACUGUGCCUCUGUGUGUGUGUCUGUGUGUGUCUGUGUGUGAGUGUGCCUCUGUGUGUGCCUCUGUGUGUGUGUCUGUGUGUGUCUGUGUGUGAGUGUGCCUCUGUGUGUGUGUCUGUGUGUGACUGUGCCUCUGUGUGUGUGUCUGUGUGUGUGUCUGUGUGUGAGUGUGUCUGUGAGUGUGAAUGUGCCUCUGUGUGUGUGUCUGUGUGUGUGUGUCUGUGUGUGAAUGUGCCUCUGUGUGUGCCUCUCUGUGUGUGUCUGUGUGUGUGUGUGUCUGUGAGUGUGAAUGUGCCUCUGUGUGUGUGUGUGCCUCUGUGUGUGUGUGAGAGUGUGUGUGAGCGGCUGGCUCCCCAAAAGCUCCAAAACCCAAGGCGCAGGCUGCUCAGAUGGGCUGGAGAGCUGGCCUGUGGCCUUCCACAGGGAUAGUUAACUAAUCAAAGCAAUCCUUAUCCUGAACAGCCUUGAUAUUUCUUCUGGGAUAUUAACCCAAUUGAUUUCCAGGAGAAUUCUUACUCCCUUGUAGGACAACCAGGUGUGCAAUAGACUCGGGCCAAGUGGCACAUCUUGUAGGAAAUUGUGUGCUCACAGGCUGACUAAAUUCAGGGAAUCUAUUCAAUGAAAAAAAAAAAAGCCAGAAAAUACAGUGAGUAUUAUCCUUAUUUUGAACUUUCUGAUAAUUUGCCACUCAUUUAUCAACCUAUUCUGUUUAAUACCUCUACAGGUAAGCUGUUAAAUUGGUAUUUGGGAUGAAUUUAGGAUUGUGUGAUAGCAUUCUGACUAAAUUGGUUUCAUUAAGUUAACAAGCUGGUUGGGACAGCUGACUCUGUUGUUGUAGGUCUGCUCCUACAGUGGCAAUGAGGAAACGUUUCCGUUAGUGCUGGGAAAUUGGAGGAUAACAUGAAACUUAAUGAAGUGAAACAGAAUUGCAGUUUCCUCAGAGUGAUUCUAUUAUGCCUCAGUUAGGGCUGUGUUAUUGCUCACCUCAAAUCAUUAGCUGUUACUGUCUUUUUGUAUUUUUUUUUUAGUGCUGCAUAGCACAUACUGUGUUCUUGUUUUAUAUUUUUUCAGUUGCAUUAUAUUUAAUGUUUACUUUUCCAUCUUUUGCAGCAGUGUAACUGAAGCUAUGUUUUAACAGAAGGUUUCUCUGGGCUUCCCUAAGGGGGUUUCUACAUUAAUGCCUUUAAAAUUCAAUCAUUAACUACUGCCUUAACCUGAAGCUGGAAAGUGAUGAUGAAAAAUAAUAUGGCACAGUGUGUAAUUUAAUUUUACAAAGCUUUAUCAGAAUUGAUUCAGCUGAUAUGUAAACAGGGGAAACCUCGGGAACUUUCUUUUCGCCCUAGCUUGCACAUUGACUUCAGCUUCAAGCUGUGCACCGUUUACCUGACAGCUGCAUUGCUACAGCACUGACUGAUCGGAUCUGCUGAGUUGGUUCUUGUCUGCAGCUGUGAGGAAGGGGACCAGGACACCCCCAGGGAUCCCUUCCGGAUCCAUAUUCCCAGGCCAAGGUCCAACAGACUGGGCACAGGGGGGGAAGAUUUUUCAGAUGUUUUGGUGCAAACACAAUUGCUUCCUGAGGGAGAGAUUUGGCAUGUGUUUCCUGAGUGAACUGUGCUUGCGUAAGCAGCCCCCUGCCACCCUCUGAGCUGGACUAGCACAGCCAUUUGUGGGGCUCAUGGGGAACUGCAUCGGGGAACUGCAGUGGGUUCAAAAGCGCCUUUUCUUCUUUUUUAUUGAUUACUUUUAACUCUGAUCUGUCUGACUGUGGGGUUGCUGUGUCAGGGUUGAGAAGGUGGCCUGAAAGGAGGGAACAUGUGGCAGGGAGUAGGAGGUAAGGGCUGUUUCUGCUGGCAUCACUGCUGCUGAAAGAAGUAAUUGCUUAUCAAGCUGUGGUCAGAGGUGGAUGACAUGUGGUUAUGGCAGUUGCCUGAAAAAUGUAGCUGAAUGCUCAGAUAUCUUAUUGCAGUUAGUUAGCUGUAUACACGAAGAUAUGAUGCUCUGUUUCUGUUGUAACUCUGAGUUUGCACUUAAUGAUUUUACUUUCGUGAUGUAUAACUAUGUGUACAACUUCAGGAUACGUUCCCUACACUAUUCUCUCUUGGAGUAUGAGCAUUUUAAAAGACCAUUUUUCUGGAAAAUAGACCUAGGCAUCAUAAGAAUAUGAGUUUUAUUAAUCAGAUUAUAUUUAGCUGGAUAGGUGAAUGCCUAAAAUUCUAAACAGGAAGAUUAAACCACCCCUAAGAGGGUGCCUCUAAUCCUAGAGACCAUAACUGUGACAUGCAUGCACUUGACUCUCUUUUACAUGUACAUAAAAUGUUAACUAUACUUUUGAAUGUAGUGUAGACCUGCUGUUAAAUUAUGAAUGACAGAAGCAAUUUGACAAGUAGCACUGUUUUAGUUAGUAUGGUGAGACUAAGAAGUCAGUUCAAUGUAAACUUUUCAUAAUCUGCUACAGUUUAUUUUAUUCUGGAAAGCAUUGAUGCUUUUGUGCAUUGUUUUAGGACUUGUUCUCAUUCUCACUUUAGACACUUUGUUUCUCUAUCAUGAUCCUAUUGUAACUAGUAAAAAAACACUCAGAGCAUAUUGUCCUUUUAGCACAAGUGCAUAUUUAGAGAAUGAUGGUACUCAUUCUUGUUCACAGAACUUGAAGGUGAAAUUAUGUGCUAUUGCUCUCUUUAUUCAACAGAGAAAAAUCCCUUCUUCCUUCCAACCUAAAACAAGAAACUUCACAGGAUUGAAGAAAAGUUUCUUACCUUUACUGUCCUGUGGUGGGUCACUACAUCUGUGGUUUGGAUUAUCUUUGUAGAGUCUCAUGUAGAUUUUAAAAAGCAGAUUAAAAAAACCCUAAAAUUUUAAUUUUUUCCAUUUUUUUUCCUAAGAGGAAAGGGUUUUCUUUGCAGCAGCCUUAUGAGAGCAAAAUACAUAUUUUAUGAGCUAUAUUGUUGUGUGUGUUAAUUGACACACAUUGAUGUGACUGUGAGUAGUAAAACUGCAAGUUACAUCUUGCCUGCAGGAAGUGGGCUCCCAGCCUGUGGGAUGGAGAAAUUUGGAAAGGUGUCAUUUUUAAAAACCAAAACUGUAGCUGUCCAAACUAAUUACUCUGUUUUUCUUCACUGGAAAUGAAGGUGCUUCCUACUGAGCUUAUUGAACUGAUGGUUUUGUUUUCCUCUCUGGAAGUGUUCUGCACUUGCAGUGGAGUGGAAGAGCUGUUGCCAAUGGGGCUGUACACUGAGUUGGCUGCUCUGGGUGAACAUACAUACCCAGGUGAAGACUCUCUUUUCCUGGAUUGGCUCCCUGUUCCUCCUCAGCUUGUAGGAUGCUGGGUAUAACUACAUACAGGGAAAGCUGUGAUUUUCUAAGUAUGAAAUCUUCGGUGUUCAGGUUCCUCAUCCUCCUGUUUUUGGAAGAAGCAUUUUUCAGUACCAGAGGGUGGGUGCUGCUCAGGUGACACCUGUCUGGCAUGGUCACAGACACCAUGGCAGGACAGAGGAGCCCACAGAUUCAGGUGUAGCCAGGAGGCACUUAUCUUUCCUUACACCGAAAGAUCAAAAUCCAUCACUUUUGUCUCCACAGCGUUUUAAGCUGUGCAAGCCCCUGAGGCAGCAGAUCAUCUCCUCAGCAGCAAGAUGAGCUAUUCAGUGGUAAGAUUAGCCAGCAAUUUGUGGCAAAUUUCUUCCCCAGAGCCUGCAGCAGCUGGGAAUUGUAGAACUGGCUUGAGGGCGUGCAGCAAUGUAUUUUGUCAGUGAGUUAGGAUAAGUUUAGUCUUCAUUAGUAAAACUCUAUCGGUUACUUUGCAUACAAUACAAAUGCUACUGAAUAGUCAUUUCUCAGCUGCAGUUCAAUGUUGGAGAACUACAAGUUAUCCACAAACCAGGAUAAUCUUGCUGCUUUUACUUGACUUAAAAAAAAAUGAACAGCAUUUUUUGUUCUUAUUUCAUUUCUGUGUCAUAUUUAUAGUUUUUGCUUGUUCUGUUUGAUGAGAUAAUGAAGUGAGAAGGCAGUAAAUGAAUCUUUAGUAUUUACUUUUAGACAACAUUACUGGUUUUCACUGAAAAACUGUUGGUUUCUUUUUCCUUUUUUGGUGUUUUAUUGUAAGAU